rnacentral:rRNA from 1 species
ACGGUUACCUUGUUACGACUUAGCCCCAGUCACCGGUCUUGCCUUAGGGCGCUCCUUGCGGUCACGCACUUCAGGCACUCCCGGCUUCCAUGGCUUGACGGGCGGUGUGUACAAGGCCCGGGAACGUAUUCACCGCGCCGUGGCUGAUGCGCGAUUACUAGCGAAUCCAGCUUCAUGGAGUCGGGUUGCAGACUCCAAUCCGAACUGAGACAGGUUUUCGGGUUCUGCGCCGGGUCACCCCGUGGCUUCCCGCUGUACCUGCCAUUGUAACACGUGUGUCGCCCCGGACGUAAGGGCCGUGCUGAUUUGACGUCAUCCCCGCCUUCCUCACAGCUUGCGCCGGCAGUCCCGACAGAGUCCUCAACGCUACUUGUUAGCAACUGUCGGUAGGGGUUGCGCUCGUUAUGGCACUUAAGCCGACACCUCACGGCACGAGCUGACGACAACCAUGCAGCACCUCGUCAGUUGCCCCGAAGGGAAUAUCCGUUUCCGGAUACGUCAACUGACGUUUGAGCCCGGGUAAGGUUCCUCGCGUAUCAUCGAAUUAAACCACAUGUUCCUCCGCUUGUGCGGGCCCCCGUCAAUUCCUUUGAGUUUCACCGUUGCCGGCGUACUCCCCAGGUGGAAUACUUAACGCUUUCGCUGUAUCACCCA